rnacentral:rRNA from 1 species
AUUGAACGCUGGCGGCGUGCCUAAUACAUGCAAGUCGAACGGGUGGCGGACGGGUGAGUAAGUUCUUGGCAACUGCCUGAUUGAGGGGGCUAACUACUGGAACCGUUAGCUACUCCCGCAUACCAUCAGAUGUGCCCAGAUGGGCUUAGCUUGUUGGUGGGGUAACGGCUCAACAAGGCGACGAUGCCUAGCUGGUCUGAGAGGAUGACCAGCCACACUGGAACUGAGACACGGCCCAGACUCCUACGGGAGGCAGCAGUGGGGAAUAUGGCACAAUGGGCGCAAGCCUGAUGCAGCCAUGCCGCGUGUAUGAAGAAGGCCUUCGGGUUGUAAAGUACUGUCAGCGGGGAGGCGUUACCCGCAGAAGAAGCACCGGCUAACUCCGUGCCAGCAGCCGCGGUAAUAC